UGCCUAAUUUAAUAUACUUACCUUUUGCCUGAUUUAUUGUACUUUUGUGUUUGAUGGGAAACAUUGAUUUAAUUUGCAUUGUCCUAUUUUUGUAUGUUUAAAGAUCCCAUGCCAUGCUAUUUAUGGAUGCUUUAAUAUAGGUAUUAGUUGGCUACAAACACAGUAUUCAAAGACGUCCCCGAAAUUCAGCCGUGGUGCAGAGUUACAGCCACUCCAAACCAGUCGCACAUUGAGCUUCCCCCAAACGCGCUGUUUCGGUGGGCGUGUCAAGGCAGGUCAAGGAGGGGGGUGGGGGUGUGGCCCUGAGCAGCUUGUAGCCACAGUACAAUGCGCUCUGGUUACGGUGGGCGUGUCAAGGCAGGUCAAGGAGGGGGGUGGGGGUGUGGCCCUGAGCAGCUUGUAGCCACAGUACCAUGCGCUCGCCGCUCUGUUGGCGGUGGAUGUAUCGCAAUGGCUCGUAGAAACCCAUAUUAUACAUAGAUAUCUAUAUAAUAUAAUAUAAUAUAUGAUGUAUAUUAUCACCUGGCCCUGCAUGCGCUCUGUUUACGGUGGAUGUAUCGCAAUGGCUCUUAUAAACCCAUAUUAUACAUAUCUAUAUCAUAUAAUCUAUAAUAUAUAUUAUCACCUGGCCCUGAGCAGCUUGUAGCCACGGUACCAUGCGCUCUGUUUACGGUGGAUGUAUCGCAAUGGCUCUUAGAAACCCAUUUUAUACAUAGAUAUCUAUAUCAUAAUAUAUAUUAUCACGGCCAAAAGCUCUCCGACGUCUCUGGUUCUUCCACUUCCACAUCAAUCUGUAGUAGACAGAACCGCGCGCUGCCUGCUGCCUGCUGCCGGCGCAAGGCACCACCGCCCGGCUGCCCGCUGCCGGGCGGUGGUGCUUCGCGGCGGUGGUGCCUCGCGCCGCGGCAACCGGCGGCAGGCAGCAUGUCGCAGUUCAUGUACUUCGAUGUUGUUCUGCCAUUGCAUUCAAAAUUCUGUAAAUAGCCUGUUACUACGAACUAAGCAACUACCAUACACGUAUUAGCAUUUAGCACUAGCUCAAUCACGACUCCUUCAGAAUUCUUGUGGGUGGUUACGAACCAACCAAGUGGGCAGGGCCAUGAAUAAUAGUUUGACAACGCUACGUCACAGUGUCACCUUAUCCAGAUUGGCUCAUUUCUUCUGCCUUUUUCCUUUCAUUGCCUAUUGCAUUCAGCAGACACACUGCAUAGAUUUCAAACUUACCACAGCUCACAAACUUAUUCAGACCUAUGUUAUUCAACAAACAACAGGAAAAAUGUGAUUUUAAUGGCAUGGGCUCUUUAAAGGUUUUUCACCUCAUCUUAUCCAUCAUGCUGGUCAAUACUUGUAGAACUUCCCAGUAAGUGUAACUAUUACUUUAUAUAUAUAUAUUGGAAGUGAUAGAUGUUAUGAUUACGUUCUGGGGUAUUUGAGGAAAUAAGUACCAACAUUUACCACCUUAUUCC
rnacentral:lncRNA from 1 species